UACGUAGGGGCCGAGCGUUGUCCGGAGUUAUUGGGCGUAAAGCGCGCGCAGGCGGCCUCGCGCGCCCGACGUGAAAGCCCCCGGCUUAACCGGGGAGGGUCGUUGGGGACGGCGGGGCUUGAGGGCGGGAGAGGUCGGUGGAAUUCCCGGUGUAGUGGUGAAAUGCGUAGAGAUCGGGAGGAACACCUGUGGCGAAGGCGGCCGACUGGGCCGACCCUGACGCUGAGGCGCGAAGGCGUGGGGAGCGAACGGGAUUAGAUGACCCCGAGUA
rnacentral:rRNA from 1 species